UCCAAAGCUUGGCAACGCGAUUAACCAAUCGCCAGCUUCUGACGACGAAGGCACAGGGGAGAAGGAACGCUAUUAGCCAAUCCAAGAAAACAAUUUAUCGGCUGCCGAGAAUGAUGCAACCAAUGCAAUUUCCUCCGGCUGAGGCGUGGGCGAAGACUACGGUUGAUUGGUAGAGCGUGCUCCUAUCGCAGAGGCUGUUAUUCCUUGGGUCUCCCGGCUGAGGGGAGGAGCCGAGCGAGCGGCGGGUGUCCCUGAGAGGCCACCUUUCGACCUUCGAGGGCCAGGAGGAUACGGGGAGGUGGCCGGAGGGAGUUCCCGAACACAGGUCUUCCUGUUCCCGCCGAGCAGGUGUUGGCGGUGCCAGGCCCGGCCUGGCGGGCCCGGGCUGGCAGCCAAAUACCCAGCGUCUGUGCUCGGGACGGGAGUGUUCGUCCAGGACGUGCAGCUCCGGAGCCUGCGCGGGCGACCUUGACCACCUUUGUCGGCUGUUUCCCCCUGAGGGAAGUAUACCUGUCCUGCCAGCCUUGGUCUCUGGCAGGGAAGGUCCUUCCAACAGAGAGGGGUGCGCACGAAUUCCUUUUUGCCGCUCUUCUAUUAAUAGUUUGAGAUUUUCCUCCCCGAUUCCUUGCAGAGAGGGCCUGGUCCUCAAGGACCUCGGGAUCUGGGCGCGACGUCCCUUCCCAGCUUCCUCCCGCGCGCACCGGACCAGAUCUUGCUGUCGUCAGCUGGCUGGUACCCAAAGUUCCUCUUCGUCAGGCUGUUCCUUCCCCGUUAGAGUCCUUCCUCCCCAGGAGCCCUCUCCAUCUGCUGACCUUCAAGACCCAGAGCGAAUGCCACUUCAUCCAUGAAGCCUUCCCUUAACCCUUAUCUGGCCAAAAUGUCUCUUUCCUGUGCUUCUGUACUUUCACAAUUUUAGAAAAUGCCUUUGUGGUUAAAAACCUAUCUCCGGGACCGGACUAUCUAGGUUUAGAUUCUGGCUGCCGCUUACGAAUUUGGGCAGGUUUAGUCAAGUUAUUUUAACCUCUCUGUGGAAGUUCCUGCUCUGUGGAAAUAAUAGUAUUUUCCUCAGAGUUGGUGUGGGGAGUUUGUGAGUUAAUACAUUUACGAAGUGGUUAGUUGCAUGUAAGAAGGACUCUCUAAAUGUCAGCUAUUAUUAACAUUGCAUAUCUGCCACACCCUUCAUAGAUGGUAAACUGCUUUUUUUUUUUUUUUUACUUUUAUUUUAGGUUCGGGAUACAUGCACAGAAUUGCUUAGAAUUGACUCAACACUGCCUCCUUGCUGAAUGGAUAAUUCAAGCAAACAACUCAAGAGCUGGAUGCUGCCCAGACAGAAGUCCUCCUAGCAUCUUUCUUCUGCCUUCCCCUGCUCCUGUCCCUGAAACCUUUUCUUCAAAAGAAGUGGAAAAGAGGAACUGGGAACCCAUAUAGCAACAGCAUCACCUGGAAUGAAUUCCUUUAGAACAUACUGUCUUGGAAAUCUGAAGCCUGCAGGGCUGGACAGGCAAGAAGAGCAGUGAGCACUGCAUGAACCUGUAAGUAAAUCUGCAUGUGGAUGGUGUUUUGGGUUUUUUUCAGACAGAGCCUUACUCUGUUGCAUAGGCUGGAGUGCAGUGGCACGAUCUUGGCUCACUGCAACCUCUGCCUCCUGGGCUCAGGUGAUUGUCCCACCUCAACCUCUCAAGUAGCUGGGACCACAGGUGUGCACCAACAUGCGCAGCUAAUUUUUGUAGAGAUGGGGUUUCGCCGUGUUGGCCAAGCUGGUCUCGAACUCCUGGGCCAAGCAAUCGGCCUCCCAAAGUGUUGAGAUUACAGGCGUGAGCUACUGCACCAGGCCACACAUGCUUAUUUUACUCAGUCUUGCCCCUGAAUACCCGAAGGUCUAAACUUAGGAAAAAGUCAGGGGAGGGAUGAGUUUGUCAUUCUUUGGAGUCGUUAUAUUUGGGUGAGUGCUGGCACUAUGGGUAGGAUAUUAUUUAGAAGCUGAGUUGUGUGCUGAGCAAAUGUUUCUUUAAAAACCAAAGCCGUAUGAGAUCUGUUAUAGAGGCACAGUGUGGCUAAAUAGUGUGCGAUAAGAUAAGCAUAGGGCUCCUGAGGUGUUGCUGUUCUCCCACUGUAAUGAGUUUACUCUUCUUCCUAAGGAAAGUGAUCCUUUAUCACCUCUCCUCUCAAAUUCACUGGCUUGUUUCGUGAGUGUGCCUUCAUGGAAUCAUGUCUCCUUCUCUUCCCUCAGUUCUCUCCUUCCCUCCCUUACGUAUGACUCCUCCCAUAAUCCGCACACAUGGAUUGAACCAAGUGAGGGUAUUUUUCUGUUUCCUACCUCAUAGAAGGGCAUAGAGUGGACACGGUCUAAGGUUAGUUCCUGAACUGAGUACCCACAUAUGCAGAACUUUAUUUAAAGCUGCUGAAAUCUUUGUAUAACAGAUAGAUCAAUAGGACUGAAAACUACUGAUGGUUUUACUUACUUGUUGAACGUGACUAAGUUCCAUGGCACCAUUUAGAAAUUGUGUUGUAUAGUUUUCGUAUGUUGCUUAAGAAACAGUUUAGCAUAAUGGUUAAAAGCAUGGCCUCUGGAACUAGAUUGCCUCUGUAUGCCUCAGUUUCCUCAUCUGGGAAUAAUAAUAGUUCUACCUCAUGGGAUUGCUAUGAGGAUUAAAUGAUUUAAUUUAAUUAAAUGAUUUCAUACAAAACUGAAUUGUACUUGACACUUAGUACUCAGGUAUUAACUGGGACCGUUAUUAUCAUCACAGAUGUUGUUUACAAGCACUUGCCUUUGAGAUUUGUUUAGCUUUUUUAUUAAAUUACUAGCGGUAUACUAGAACAGUACGUAGGCUGGGGCCUGGAGUCAAAUUCUAGCUUUGCCUCUUAUAGUUUUGAAACUUUGAGUAAAUUACUUGAUGUGUCUGAGUUUUAAUAUUCUUAUAUGUAAUUUACUUUUAAAAAGAAUUUUGCUUAGUGUUGAUAUACACACAUUUAACACAGUUAUAGAAAUUAUUGUUUUUACUAUUGUCAUAUGAGGAAAUUCGUCCCUGGGUUGCUGUAGGGUGCUAAUGGUUAGGCAAACUCUCUUUGAAGUCUGCCUGAUCUGGCCCCUUGCAGGCAUGUACUCCGAAAUAUUUUUCAAAUGGAAAAGAAAACAGAGAACACAAUUUUCAAAAUAUCUAGAGCCCUCCAAGAAGUCUUUGUAGAGAUCUAUAAAAUCUCAAGGCAAUUUAAAGGUAAUAAGACAACUUUAUUAAUAAUUAAUUAAAAUGUAAAUGUUAAUGAUAGCCCUUUGUAUAGCUAUAUUAUCUUUUUCUGAAGAAUAGAAAAAUGUUUUAGAAACACUAUUCUCUCCACAUCCUGGGGCAGCAGCCUUCUCCAAAGAAACAGAAAGAAGGAAAUGGAUUGCCUUAGCAAAAAAACAAAUGAAGACACUCCAAAUAACAGAAGAAUGGGAAGGCUACAGACCUUGAAGUCAGAAGAAAAUUUCCUCUCCUUGCCCCGUUUCUCCUUAAAUGGAUCACCAGUACAGUCUCUUACUUCUAGAGCCAUGUUAAGCUUUCUUCCCCAAAGUUGUAAUGUCCUUCUUUUGGUUGUGUCGUGUCCUAAAAUCCUACUCUUUGGUACAAGAUGAAGGUAUAUGAAGAGAUAAUGAAGGAAACAAAUUCAAUGUGUUUGCCAAGAACACAGUCUUUUAAAUAACUCUUAAAGGGUUCGUUUAAAACAGUGUAAUAAAUUGUGGUAAUCUAGUACACAAAGCUAGUAGGAACCUCGUUUAUUAAUAAUAUUUCAACAUUGAGCAGUAGAGGGCAGCACUAUCCUUCUUUUGCAAAAUGUUGAGCACUCUUGAGAAGGAAAAUAAAGGCAAAGCUCCUGACCCCUGUGUCUGUGUUUACUUUUACCAUUAAAAAAAAACAAAAAAUUGGAGUAUUUUUAUUAUGGUUUAGGUGAUUAUGUAUAAAGAAUGUCAGAGCCUGCAUUACCUGGAAGUGGUGCACCAGGUAAUGCAAAAAACACGGAAGGUUUGAGGUCCCCCACUCAGGAUAUGGGUUCUGUCUAGUAAAGAUAAACAGUAGCUUGACCCUGGGUAAUCAGAUAGGGUUAUUGUAUGAACAGACCUAAUGCUCCUGCACGUUCUGGAUAGAAGUCAAUCUACUGAAAUAGCAGGAUGUAGUUUUAAAAAAUGUGUGUAACUCAUAUAGUCUUAGCCCUGAUAAGUGCUUCUAAAUUCUUAUUCACUGCCUUUAUUCUGCUGUGUUAGUGUUGCUCUCUGUCAUACGUGGGUCAGGUCAGAACUAGCUCAAAUACAGUAUGUGUAUUAUGACUUUAAGGAGUGGUGUCAGACAAGAUGGGUAAAGAAUGUCUUUCAUGGGACUGCAGUUGGCUAAAUGGCUGUGUAUAAGUAGUGAAAUUGAAGCCUUGUAUGCUCGUCGUCAUUCUAUCACAGUAUGAUUUGAGUUUCCCUAACCGGUAAACAGCAAGAAAAAAUGAUCUGUUAUUUUUUACUAAAGUUACUUGAUGCUCUUUAGCAAGCUGACAGAAUAAUUCUAAUUUUAGCAAAUACAAAACCAUGGUAAUCCUAGCACAUUUGGAUUCUGUUUAACCCUGAAAACUCUUUUGGCAGCAAAUCUUCAAUGCCAAUUUAGAUAAAUCCCACUAGGAAUAAGCACUGAAAGACGUUGAGUCUAGUUCCCAGCUCUGCCAUGUGAAGUUGGGCAAAUUACAGUCUCUGAGCUUUUAUUUCAUCUGUUAAAUGGAGAUAAUACCUCCUAGAUUUAUUAAAAGGGUCAAUUUAGAAAAUAUGUAUUAAAAUGGUUUGAAAGCCAUUUAAGUACCUAAUGAAUAUUUCUAUCACUGUAGCCCAAAAAGAUUCCUGCCUAGAAGACUUUAUGUCUCUUCUCCUCAUUUGGUAUCAUUCUAUUGCCUGAGAUUGUUAAUUAACUUUUAUGUAUACUCAAUAUUUUCUCCCAACUUGGUUGCUAGUUCCUUGAGAACUGAAACCAUCAAUUGCACUUCUUGGUAUCCUCCACAAUAAGGUAUCUAGGUACUCAAAUAUUUGUUGGUUGAUUAAAAACAUAAACCACAAGACAUAAUUAACUCUUUUUAAAAUUGUGGUAAAAAAACAUGUAUUUACCAUCUUAAUCAUUUUUAAGUAUACUGUAUAUUAGUGUUUACUAUAUGCACAUUGUUGUGCAACACAUCUCUAGGACUUUUUCAUCCAGAAUUCUUUUUUUUUGAGACAGAGUCUUGCUGUGUCGCCCAAGCUGGAGUUCAGUGGCACCAUCCUGGCUCACUGCAACUGCUGCCUCCCAGGUUCAAGUGAUUCUCCUGCCUCAGCCUCCCGAGUAGCUGGGAUUACAUGUGCCUGCCACCACGCCUGGCAAGUUUUUGUAUUUUUAGUAGAAAUGGUGUUUUACCAUGUUGGCCAAGACUGGCCUAGAACUCCAGACCUCAAGUGAUCCACCCGCCUCAGCAGCCCAAAGUGGUGGGAUUACAGGCAUGAGCAACUGUGCCUGGCCUAGCCAUUUUCUAUAAACCUGAAAAUAGAUGCCAGAAAAGAAGGUGCCGCUAUAAAAUGCUUUCUUGAGUGAUUUAUGUCUAACAUACAAUUAAACAUUUAUGAGAAGGAAAUUAUCAGGUUAAAAUAUAAACUCACUUGCCAAUUAUUUGAUUUUCAGGAUAUCUGACUUUUGUUAAUUACUGAAAAUAAAGUAUUAUUUCUAAUCACUA
rnacentral:lncRNA from 1 species